GUGAGGAAUUUUCCGCAAUGGGCGAAAGCCUGACGGAGCAAUGCCGCGUGAAGGAUGAAGGCCUAUGGGUUGUAAACUUCUUUUCUCAGAAAAGAAUUAUGACGGUAUCUGAGGAAUAAGCAUCGGCUAACUCUGUGCCAGCAGCCGCGGUAAGACAGAGGAUGCAAGCGUUAUCCGGAAUGAUUGGGCGUAAAGCGUCUGUAGGUUGUUUAAAAAGUAUUCUGUCAAAGAUUAGGGCUUAACCCUAGAUAGGCAGAAUAAACUUUUAAGCUAGAGUUUGGUAGAGGCAGAGGGAAUUCUCGGUGGAGCGGUGAAAUGCGUAGAUAUCGGGAGGAACACCAAAGGCGAAGGCACUCUGCUGGGCCAAUACUAACACUGAGAGACGAAAGCGAGGGGAGCAAAUGGGAUUAGAAACCCGGGUAGUCC
rnacentral:rRNA from 1 species